AUCACCGGAAGGAAUCCACAGU
rnacentral:miRNA from 1 species